rnacentral:rRNA from 1 species
UACGUAGGGUGCAAGCGUUGUCCGGAAUUAUUGGGCGUAAAGAGCUCGUAGGCGGUCUGUCGCGUCGGCUGUGAAAUCCCGAGGCUCAACCUCGGGUCUGCAGUCGAUACGGGCAAACUGGAGUGUUGCAGGGGAGACUGGAAUUCCAGGUGUAGCGGUGAAAUGCGUAGAGAUCUGGAGGAACACCGAUGGCGAAGGCAGCCUUCUGGGCCAACACUGACGCUCAUGCACGAAAGCGUGGGGAGCAAACAGG